GUUUAAAAUAGAAGGCAUUUGGCACGUGCGUAACGUUCAGCUUCCUGCUUUAAAUAUUCGACAGGUCCAGCUCUUGCUCGUGAUCAUUCCAAACUGGGGGAAAAAAAGUGAUUCUGGCUUUCCAAUUUCCUGCCGCCUUAUUGAUUUUAUUUCGUUGUUGUUUUUUAGAUUUCUGUAAGUGAUGCUAUAUAUGACCUUAUACCACAGCACAGCUGAAUUCUUAAUUCUGAUUGGUCAGAUGUUGAUUAUUGUUCUAUAACAGUAGCUCUGACAGUAAUGCUGGCUGAAAGGCAAAAAUUAACUCGUUCUAACACGUUAUGGUUUACAUCGUAUCAACUAAUUGACGCUUCGCUUAAUAUAAGCAUCAAACUAUCGAUAUGAUGACGUUUUCUGUAAGAAUAAAUUUAUUUCAAAUGUACGGAAGGAGUCUCCGGUGUCAGCACGUCGUAACAGUUAGUACGUUUCUCUACACAGGAAGGUCUUGAGCUUUAUAACAUGAAAAGCUGAGAUUUUUUUUCUUUUCUUUUUUUUUUUUUUAAAAGAGAGGACGAAUUGCUGUGGUAUAAGAUGAGGGAAACACUUCAGGAAGUGCUGUUAUAAGAAAGUAAUCAGGGUGGGGAUGGAAUCAUUAAUCGCACAUUGUGCCACCAGGUCGUUGAUUAUUUUCCUAUAACAGCACGUCCCUAAGUGUUCUAUAGUUUAUUUAAAAGUCUGUGUAACUUUUCUGAAGAUCUGGAUGCAGGAUUUUAUUAUUUUUUUCUAAAAUUUGGUCAUUUUUUCCAAUUCCCACCCGAUAUCUAUUGCUCCCCUAUCACACCACGGCUACUAACGAGAGUGUGAAGACAUGAAGCCGGCUGUCACAGGGCAGCUGAACGUUAAGAGGAAAGCUUUAUCUGCCCUCUUCCGCUUACAUGAGUAUGCCAUCCCUCUCACCCAGCGAGCACGACCAGUUUUGCUCCCUCAGUCCUUCCGGAUACAGAUUGAAGCAUGUUUAUGGAAACAAUCUUGGGUGGAAAAAAAAAAAAGACUCUCAUUACUUGGCAGCAAACGAAAUAUCACUCGGCCGACCGGCUAGGUUUUCGCUGAGCCAUUCCCUUAAUGACGGUCAUAUCUGAGCUGAGACACCAUGACAUCAUGUACUGCAUGUCCUGUUCUCACAGUGCUGGUUUCUACGUCCUCCAAGUGACACCCUUUCUUAGACACAGAGUCAGUACUUGCGUUAUUCUUCAUACGAUACGUCCCCCGUGUGUACCGUUUCUCCACGACUAGACGUGAUUGUAGAUCAGUCAGCCCGUCUCCACGUGGUGUCGUGCAGGAACUGAACGCGGAGGCGCAUCUCUUCUUAAAGCGUCGCCGCCAGUACUGUUGAACAGAGUUACUGUAAAAACACAGGACCAAUUCGAGCGACUGCUCAUAGAACUGUGAUGCUCAUCUCGUUUUCCCCUUCCUGCGCUUUGGCAUCGCACUGUGCGUGUAAACUCCCGUCUUCUUCGUCGAAUCGAGACACUGUACGUCUGUAUGCAACAGAGACACAACAGCGCCUGCGCUCGUUUAGCACAGCGCCUUCCACACAUAAUAUAUUUUUCUAUUUACCUCUCAGUUUAGGUGCAUCAGGUGACACGACUGUUGGCUGUUUUUAAAAACCGAGAACAAACCGAUCCAUGUCUGGGUUAUGUACUUAUUCUGGUUUCCUCAUCCCCUGCACUGUCUAUAAAGAGUUUAGUCGCUCUUCAUGAUGCUUUUUUUUUUUUUUUUGAAAGCAUUAGAGCAGUUUAUAGAGUUACAGAAACUAAAUUAGCCAGUAGGUUUAAUCCAGAACAGUUGCUCAUUUGCUGUCAGUAGGUACUGUGUGUAUAUGAGCUUUAAUAUGGCAUAUUGAAAAGACGCAACCCCGACUGUCCCUUUAAUCUGGUCUAACUGGAAAACAUUGUCUCAGCGCUCAGGAGCCACUAUUCACCCUCGACGGCCUGAACUAUUUAUUCUAUUUAUUUUUUGCGUCGGCCAGAGGGAUGGUGUUAUGUUUUAUAUUCUAUAACUAACUAAUAGGAGUCAACACACACACACAAACACACACACACACUCACACCAAGAGGGAGCUGUUUAGACUGGAAAAUACAAUAUAUUAGUACAAAAAAAUGCGAGGAAAAAUCCACCCUGAAGAACUUUAUAAUGAACCUGAUUUACAAGAUGUUUUUUCUUUUUCUUUUUAUUGCCACCCCCCCANNNNNNNNNNNNNNNNNNNNCCCCCCCCCCUCCCCCCCCCCCCCCCCCCCCCCCCCCCCCCCCCCCCCCCCCCCCCCCCCCCCCCCCCCCCCCCCCCCCCCCCCCCCCCCCCCCCCCCCCCCCCCCCCCCCCCCAGUCUGUUUUUAUUGUUUCCCCACAUUACCCACAAUGCCGUUUGACUACUUACCUGUUGGUGCAGUGGGGUUCAGCUCUAACGUCAUUCCUUACCUGAAGAGAUCGAUGCAGCAGCACUUUAAUCUUUUAGUCUGUCUAGCUCUGACAGAUCGUGCUAUGUUGGAUUUCUCGUUAAUACGAUGAUGAACAUCGGUGGGGGUGGGGGUGGGAGUGUGUGUUUUUGGGGGGGGUGGGAGUGUGACUAAUAGAAGAAGCUCUUACUCUUUUGUUUUUAGGAGCCAACAGCAAAGCACGAACAAUUCUCUCUUGUGUUUUAAAUUGUUUUUUUCUUUUUCUUUCCCCUCUUUAAGUGCACUAGCAAUAACUGGGUCUUCCUGUGACAUCAGCGUGGCACACAACCGCUAACUUAUACAGCACCAACCAUCAGAUUUGCACCAGAAUCACUAACACAUCAGAAAUAUAUCAAUAUAAACAUAUAUCAUGUGCUUCAGGGUGGAGGAUUCCUUUAAAUCCUAGACAAUUUAAAGUUGCAACUAUAUUUUGGUGUCUUGUUUUGUUGUUUUUUUUGUUUUUUUAUUCAGGUUGUUUUUUUUUUUUUAACUGAAACUAAACUGGACCAUUUCAAAAUAUCUCAUCGUAGAUAAAAUUAAUUCUAGAAAUACGAUAGAGCCUGUUACUCGUGUAAUAUCCCCCUCCAUUACUACUCGUUAUCCUCGUCAGCCUUCUUCCUCGCUAAACGCCUGAAUCAGGUCAUCCUCUCCUCACCAGCUACGUGUGUGUGUGUGUGUGUGUGUGUGUGCCACUUCAACACACACUCACGGCCUCGUGCGAAGCUCUGCGUGCUGAUUAUACGCACCAUCGGCUGUCUUAAUUCUUUAGUUUGUUCAAGGGUGGAGGUGUUUUUAAUGUCUUAUUUGAUAAGUAAUCUACAGCUAGCUGAACCUGUGCACCUGAGUAAAUCAUUAAACUAUAGUCCAGCUGUAAAACUUGCUGUGUCGUAUGUGUAAAGAUUCGGAUUAUUUAUUUUGAAUAUACUCUCUCUGUCUCUCUCUAUCUCUCUCUCUCUCUCUCUCUCUCUGUCUCGCUCUCUCUUUUGACACAUCAGCCAUUUUUCAGUGAAAAAAAAAAGGAAUUUUGGUUGAUUUUUUUUUAAAGUCAUAUGUGACAUGUUUGAUUUCUGCUCUUUUGUAAAAUGCUCGUUUUCCUUGUUUGGUUUUUUUUAAUGAUGUGUGUUAAUUUUGUAAUGUUAAUUUUCUUUUUUUUUUUUCUUGUAUGCCGCCCUUCUUAGUUUGAUUUAUGCCUCGUAAAAUCUGAUAACUGAUUAAUCUUUCAGUUUCUUCUGGGAACCUCAUAUUGAUGAGUGUACAUUUGAUAAGUGUAAAUUAUGUUUUCAACAUUUUAUAAAAAAAUAUAUAUAUUAAAAAUAUUUCUGAUUGAACCUUUUUGUUUGCAUGUGUGUGUGAACAUCAAUGUGAACACCUACAGUGCACUUUGAAGGUUUUUUUUUUCCCCUCGCAAGAAAACCUAAUGUGUUUUGGUUUUUUUUGUUUUUUUUUUAACACGUGUCUAAUGUUAAAUGAACGCGUCGGAGAGGAGCGUCCAGUCUCCAUUAAAAUCUUUCAC
ensembl:lncRNA